rnacentral:lncRNA from 1 species
AUUUUUAUGUAAAAUGACUAUUUGUGUAUAUUAAAAUAAUAAUAGAUAUUUUAACAGAUAGCCUAUAUCAAUGCAAUUUUACUCGUAAAUAAUCAAAUCCUAAUAAAAUUGAAAAUGCCGAGUUGAGAAAAGACAAUUUCUGUUUUUAAUUUUCAGGACAGAAACAGUUUAAUUUCUUAAAACGAAUUAAGUACAAUAUUGAAAUUGCACCGGAAUCUGAGAGUUUGUUAUUAGAUUGUAAUGUUUUAUUAUAUUGUAUGCAAACAAUUAGGUCAUAGGAAGCGUAUUUUCUUUGCUCCGCUAAGAUGAAAUCUUGCAGAUAAAACAUAUCGUGUGCGUACAUAACCAGAGGUGAAUUGCAGUUGGAUGACAACCAUGUAGUAAUGUCUAUAAUUUUAGAAUUUAAACGUACUUUGACAUGUCAGAGGCAUCGACCUCAUACUAUGUUAAAGAUCAUUGUUUUUCCACCAGUGUUCAUAAGGUCAAUUGGUAAUAUGUUUUGUACACGUCUUGAAAUAAGGAUUGAUUUUAAUAAAUCAAAUUUAAUUCUUGUCACUAAUGACAAGAAUUACGAAAUUUUCGAAAUUACAUAUUCUCGAAAUACAUAUUAAUCUUACGAAAUUUUAUCCAUUUCUUUUAAAAUAAAAAAUAUAAUAAAUAGUUGCAGCGAGAAUUGAAAUCUCCUACUUUCCCGAUGUGUCAUUUAUUCUUCAUUUAUUUAGCACUUGGAAUCUAUUGAUUUUAUUAACCAAUUUUAACGUUAAUUUAA